UAGGGAAUUUUCCACAAUGGGCGAAAGCCUGAUGGAGCAACGCCGCGUGCAGGACGAAGGCUUUCGGGUCGUAAACUGCUUUUGUUUGUGAAGAUUAUGACGGUAGCAUUCGAAUAAGGGUCUGCUAACUACGUGCCAGCAGCCGCGGUCAUACGUAGGACCCAAGCGUUAUCCGGAAUUACUGGGCGUAAAGAGUUGCGUAGGUGGCAGAGUAAGUUGGUAGUGAAAGCGUGUGGCUCAACCAUACAGACAUUACCAAAACUACUCAGCUAGAGGAUAAGAGAGGUAGAUGGAAUUUCUAGUGUAGGAGUGAAAUCCGUAGAUAUUAGAAAGAACACCAAUGGCGUAGGCAGUCUACUGGCUUAUUCCUGACACUAAGGCACGAAAGCGUGGGGAGCGAACGGGAUUAGAUACCCCCGUAGUCC
rnacentral:rRNA from 1 species